rnacentral:tRNA from 1 species
GCAUUGGUGGUUCAGUGGUAGGUUUCUUACUUUCUAUGCAGGGCUCUACGGCACUGGGAUUUUUUGUUUUGUUUUGUUUUGGAUGCAGGAGGCCCAGGUUCGAUUCCUGGCCAGUGCA